rnacentral:pre_miRNA from 1 species
GCAUGAUGAUGAUGAUGGUGCUGGUGAUGGUGUUGAUGAUGGUUUUCGCCCAUCUCACCACCACCACCACCACCACCACCACCG